GCGAAAGUAUAGCAGUGGUUAGCUUGUCUGAUCCCCAAUUAGGAUAAAUAAAGGAUUCAGGAGACAUGGGUUCGAAUCCCGUCUUUCGCA